rnacentral:rRNA from 1 species
CAGUAGCCGCGGUAAUACGGAGGAUCCAAGCGUUAUCCGGAUUUAUUGGGCGUAAAGGGCGCGUAGGUGGUUACGUAAGUGAGAUGUGAAAUCCCCGGGCUCAACCUGGGAACUGCAUCUUAUACUGCGUAGCUGGAGUGCAGUAGAGGGUAGUGGAAUUUCCGGUGUAGCGGUGAAAUGCGUAGAUAUCGGAAGGAACACCAGUGGCGAAGGCGGCUACCUGGACUGACACUGACACUGAGGCGCGAAAGCGUGGGGAGCAAACAGGAUUAGAUACCCCUGUAGUCCCUGUCUCUUAUAC